rnacentral:rRNA from 1 species
GGGGACAAAGUGACAGGUGGUGCAUGGUUGUCGUCAGCUCGUGUCGUGAGAUGUUGGGUUAAGUCCCGCAACGAGCGCAACCCUUAAUUUUAGUUGCCAGCAUUUAGUUGGGCACUCUAAAGUGACUGCCGGUGCAAGCCGGAGGAAGGUGGGGAUGACGUCAAAUCAUCAUGCCCCUUAUGACCUGGGCUACACACGUGCUACAAUGGAUGGUACAAAGGGUCGCGAAGCCGCGAGGUGGAGCCAAUCCCAUAAAACCAUUCUCAGUUCGGAUUGUAGGCUGCAACUCGCCUACAUGAAGCCGGAAUCGCUAGUAAUCGUGGAUCAGCAUGCCACGGUGAAUACGUUCCCGGGCCUUGUACACACCGCCCGUCACACCACGAGAGUUUGUAACACCCGAAGUCGGUAGGGUAACCUUUAUGGAGCCAGCCGCCGAAGGUGGGACAGAUAAUUGGGGUGAAGUCGUAACAAGGUAGCCGUAUCGGAAGGUGCGGCUGGAUCACCUCCUUUCUAAGGAA